rnacentral:rRNA from 11 species
GUCUAAGGCCUAAAUACCCUAAAGGCACCAGAUCUUGUCUGAUCUUGGAAGCUAUGCAGGGUCAGCCUUGGCUAUGCUCAGGUAGGAGAAUGCCAACAAAUCCUAGGUGCUGUUGACC